GUGUGUGAGUGUGUGUGUACACGUGUGUGUUGGAUGAGAAAAUAAAACACACACACACACACACACACACACACACACACACACACA
rnacentral:pre_miRNA from 1 species